UGAACAUUAAAGAGCAGGACGAACACACAGAGGAUUCAGUGAUGUGUGAGCAGGCUCUGGUCCACGUCCCCUCGGCGUCCUGCCCUAGUCGGGGUCACCUCACCGCCCUGCACCGAACAGCCACAGUGGGAAACAGCGACACAAUGGCUGCCCUGAUUCAUGGAGGCUGUGCUGUGGACCUACAGGACAGAGACGGAAACACGGCGCUACAUGAGGUCUCGUGGCAUGGCUUCACCCACUGUGUCAAACUGCUGACCAAGGCAGGAGCUGACGUCCACAUCAGGAACAAGGAAGGA